AAUUUUGCGACGCAUUUUGGUUCUCAAAGGUGUAUUUCAACUUUUGAAGAUUAAAAGGGAAUUUCGUUAAAAUCGAAAGCUGUUCCCGCAACUGUGCGCUUUGUACGCUUUGUGCGUAUGCUUUACUUUAAAACUUUAUAACCACUGUCUGUUAAGAUGGGAAGGUUAAGUAAAGACGCAAGCCAGGAGACCUGCCUCAAUGUAUAAUUUAAA
rnacentral:ncRNA from 2 species